AGCUGUUUUUGGACUACAACUCCCAUCAUUCCUAGCUAUCAGGACCAGUGGUCAGGGGUGAUGGGAAUUGUAGUCCCAAAACAGCU
rnacentral:miRNA from 1 species